UUUAUGUAUACGCGGUCUACUAUGAGAGAUAGGUAGCCAGCUAUUUCACACUUUUGGAUAACAUUUUAUAACUCAAGAAAACAAGAUUAAAGUGAUAAAAUUUGUUGGGUCGGUGGAUGAAUAUUUUGGCCUCAAAUGCCAUUUUGAAAGACUGGAAGCAUAUGCAGCUCUCCACUCCCAAUUGUGUCUGAGUCUUGUAUCUCUUACUAUUUACAUUAAAAAAAAAGGAGUCUUCAUGGGUGUUAGUAGUUGAGAGAAAAAGGGCAUUUCAUAGCUUUUUUGUAUUUUUAUAAUUUAUACCUUUUGGAACAUUAAGAAUAUUGUACUGAUACUGCUUUCUAAUGGGAAAAUCUGGUGGAGAAAGAAAUCCAACAGGUCCUGUAACUUACAAUUAUACUAUUCGUUUUCUUUCUA